rnacentral:lncRNA from 1 species
CUGGGGGCCAACUAAUGCAUUACCUGUGGCGAAAAUACUUUAGAACUGGGAUGUGCUUAACUCUCACAAAGGGACGUAGAAGAGGGUGGACCCUGACUAGGCUUAUGCCACAGAAGACCCUGAAUAUCCUUCCACUGUCAGAAAGGAUGGCAACCCAACAUUCUCUACGUUGGCUCUUGUUUGCAUUUUUCAGAGGCAAGAAAUGUACUUUUCCCAGUCCUCUUCUCUCCCACAAAUGUUAUUUCAAUGAUCUAUACUGUCAGAAAUAAUCUUAAUAUGGUCACAGAACUUUAUAGUUUAUGAGAUUUUCUACUAGGAUGUAAUCAAAGCCAUAUAGUAUGGACAAGUUGGGAAAGAAUUGUCAGUUUCAUUUUAUGGAUAAGAUGCUUGGGCCUCAGAGAGAUCGCCUUAGGUGGCAAACGGGGGCCAGAACUUAGGUCUCCUGACUUCAAGGAAGGACCUUUUGGUUCUAUGAGAUUUGAACUCUACCUCAGCCUAAUAGCCUGAAUACCUAUUGCUAAACAUGACUUUCACUUCUUCAUUUUCCAUCUUUGAGAGGUUCCACAAGGCAGAUCCCCACAUGAUUUGAAAUCUCCUAGGUUUAGCCCGUAUUUCCUGAAUGAUAGUGAUAGUUGGUGCUUACUAAAUACCAUUUGCAGGCAAUGUUCUAGAUUCUUCACAUAUAUUAAUGCAUAUAGUUACACAACUCUAUGAGGUCAGAGGUCACUACUAUUAUUAUCCCUAUUUGACAAAUGGGGAAUUGAAGCAUAGGGACAUUAACUAACUUACCCAAUGUCCCACAGGUGGCAAAUGGCAGACCAAGCAGCCUGCUCCAAAGUCUAUACUGUUAAUCACUAC